rnacentral:rRNA from 1 species
UUUAUAUGAGAGUUUGAUCCUGGCUCAGGAUGAACGCCGGCGGUGUGCCUAAUACAUGCAAGUCGUACGCACUGGCCCAACURAUUGAUGGUGCUUGCACCUGAUUGACGAUGGAUCACCAGUGAGUGGCGGACGGGUGAGUAACACGUAGGUAACCUGCCCCGGAGCGGGGGAUAACAUUUGGAAACAGAUGCUAAUACCGCAUAACAACAAAAGC